AAUGCCUAGCCGGAUGCUGCAGAUACUUGAGAAGUUCAUUAAACCUUAUCAUUUAGAGGAAGGAGAAGUCGUAACAAGGUUUCCGUAGGUGAACCUGCGGAAGGAUCAUUGCACACACAAACUGCAAAGCCAACCCCAAACUUGGGUCCGGCGCUCCAACUCGGGGUGCCGGACUUGAUGAAAAUGGCAAUUACCUUUACMUUYYGAAACUCUUCCGGUGGYGSUGAACCCUUUGGGGACUUAGGCGUCCUCCUCCYCCUCCAGGCUGGMUUCAUCUCCUCCCCCUGYCUGCCCCCGCCGGAACUUUGGYUCGCGGUGCUCGGUCUCKGCCGAAUCAAUYUASYGGUCRCGGGACGKGGAUCCGGGAUUAGUACCGGCMGGCGGGGAGUGCUACCGCKRGAGGCUAGGGAGGGUCCAGCGCUCAMGUACUCGRGUGCGAGCGCAKUACUCGUCSGGUGGAAGCCCGAUGAAAUMAUUCCAAGUCCCCWAGACUAASGACCCUUAUUUUGACCCKAGAGUUCGAGCCUUAACCGGCUCGAGCACGAGUUGAAUCUAAUCUAACUUAGAACAACUCUCAGCAACGGAUAUCUUGGCUCUUGCAACGAUGAAGAACGCAGCGAAAUGCGAUACGUAGUGUGAAUUGCAGAAUUCCGCGAAUCAUCGAGUUUUUGAACGCAAGUUGCGCCCGAGGCUUGUCCGAGGGCAUUUCCGCUAGAGCGUCACCGCGCCCCCCCACCACACUCCCCAAGUUGGGAGUUUGAGUGGAACUGGCCGUCCCGGUUUAAUACGGGUCGGCUGAAAUGGAGGGAAUUUGGCCGCCGUGGCAUCACUUGCCCCGCGAUCAGGUGUGAUUUCGAAAGUUAUCUUCCAAGUGCGGGGCUCCCAGUGAGAGCCCGAGUGCGUGCCGGAGUUCCACAGCAGGCUACCUUUACCACUUGGGCCAGCAAUGGCCCAAGGCACAAAGGCAAGAGGUAACGCAUCAGACCUCUAAUCGGAAAAGACUACCCGCCGAGUUUAAGCA
rnacentral:rRNA from 1 species